rnacentral:rRNA from 1 species
CACGUAGUUAGCCGUGGCUUCCUCACAGGGUACCGUCACUUCCUUCGUCCCCUGCGACAGAGGUUUACAACCCGAAGGCCGUCUUCCCUCACGCGGCGUCGCUGCAUCAGGGUUUCCCCCAUUGUGCAAUAUCCCCCACUGCUGCCUCCCGUAGGAGUCUGGGCCGUGUCUCAGUCCCAAUGUGGCCGUUCAACCUCUCAGUCCGGCUACUGAUCGUCGCCUUGGUGGGCCGUUACCCCGCCAACUAGCUAAUCAGCCGCGAGCUCAUCUCUGUGCGAUAAAUCUUUGAUAUACCGGCCAUGCGGCCACUAUAUGUUAUGCGGUAUUAGCGUUCCGUUUCCAGACGUUAUCCCCCUCACAGAGGCAGAUUGCUCACGUGUUACUCACCCGUCCGCCACUAAAAGUGAAAAGCAAGCUCUUCACUCUCCGUUCGACUUGCAUGUGUUAGGCGCGCCGCCAGCGUUCUCCUGAGCCAGGAUCAAACUCCU